AAUGAUUACCCUGAACGGUGGAUCACUUGGCUCG
rnacentral:rRNA from 1 species